GAUGAACGCUGGCGGCGUGCCUAAUACAUGCAAGUCGAGCGAACAGACGAGGAGCUUGCUCCUCUGACGUUAGCGGCGGACGGGUGAGUAACACGUGGAUAACCUACCUAUAAGACUGGGAUAACUUCGGGAAACCGGAGCUAAUACCGGAUAAUAUAUUGAACCGCAUGGUUCAAUAGUGAAAGACGGUUUUGCUGUCACUUAUAGAUGGAUCCGCGCCGCAUUAGCUAGUUGGUAAGGUAACGGCUUACCAAGGCAACGAUGCGUAGCCGACCUGAGAGGGUGAUCGGCCACACGGGAACGUAGACACGGUCCAGACUACUACGGGAGGCAGCAGUAGGGAAUCUUACGCAAUGGGCGAAAGCCUGACGGAGCAACGCCGCGUGAGUGAUGAAGGUCUUCGGAUCGUAAAACUCUGUUAUUAGGGAAGAACAAAUGUGUAAGUAACUAUGCACGUCUUGACGGUACCUAAUCAGAAAGCCACGGCUAACUACGUG
rnacentral:rRNA from 1 species